rnacentral:rRNA from 1 species
GACGAACCGAGCGAACGUUGUUCGGAAUCACUGGGCUUAAAGCGUGUGUAGGCGGGCCCGUAAGUGUCUUGUGAAAUCCCCCGGCUCAACCGGGGAACGGCUGGGCAUACUGCGGGCCUCGGGCCGACUAGGGGUUGCCGGAACAAGCGGUGGAGCGGUGAAAUGCGUAGAUAUCGCUUGGAACGCCGACGGUGAAGACAGGCAACUGGGGUCGCGCCGACGCUGAGACACGAAAGCCAGGGGAGCGAACGGG